rnacentral:lncRNA from 1 species
CGCAAGAAGAAGAGGAAGAGGAUUUUUAUAACGGCGAAGAAUACAGUUAUGAAUACGAGGAAGAACUUUCCCCAGAUUAUCCUGCGACCUCUCAGGAGAGGAAGGACAACAGACAGCUUGAAGUUCAAACAGAUGCAAUUCCCCAUCCAAUGGAUAAAAAGGAGGAACAAUUACCCACACACAGUCCUGCCCAGUUAGAAACGUUGACGGGAACCUCCAGUUAUCCUCUAACAUCCUCCACAAACAAACAAAUAGAUGCAGAGGAUGAAGUUUCACUUCCUACACCUCCCAUCACAACAGAAGAACCAGACAAGGAUGUCUCUUAAGUCCCAAGAGACUGUGACUAUAGGGUGUUAAGCAUUCAUAAGAUAGCACACACUACAUGGAGCGUGUGAAUAAACUGUGAACUGUUUUGCUGAUGAGGAGCCCUGAACCUGAGGAAGGACUUCUUUCUACACAGACGAAGUCACUGACCCAAAGCUAUGGCCAAAGUUCAUAUCUUGUAUGAUGGCUUUUAUUUUGAGUAGCACUCUAUAGAAAAUCAGGCACUGCUGUUAAAUUAUCAGAAUUGUUUCCUCAUGUCUGGGUUAUUUUCAUUCUUCACUUUGUUUAAUGUAAACC